GCGGCCAUGGCGAAACUGGUAGCCGCAGCAGACUUAAAAUCUGCCGCCGAGAGGCGUGCCGGUUCGAUUCCGGCUGGCCGUACCA
rnacentral:tRNA from 1 species